rnacentral:piRNA from 1 species
UGAAUCAUCAGUCAGUACCCUAAGCUCCCAA